rnacentral:rRNA from 1 species
CUACGGGUUGCUGCAGUGAGGGAUAUUGCACAAUGGGGGGAACCCUGAUGCAGCAACGCCGCGUGGAGGAUGACGCAUUUCAGUGUGUAAACUCCUUUUAUAUGUCAAGAAAAUGACGGUAGCAUAUGAAUAAGCACCGGCUAACUCCGUGCCAGCAGCCGCGGUAAUACGGAGGGUGCAAGCGUUACUCGGAAUCACUGGGCGUAAAGGACGCGUAGGCGGGUUGGAAAGUCAGGUGUGAAAUCCUACAGCUUAACUGUAGAACUGCACUUGAAACUUCUAAUCUAGAGUAUGGGAGGGGGAGAUGGAAUUAGUGGUGUAGGGGUAAAAUCCGUAGAUAUCACUAGGAAUACCUAAAGCGAAGGCGAUCUCCUGGAACAUUACUGACGCUAAGGCGUGAAAGCGUGGGGAGCAAACAGGAUUAGAUACCCGGGUAGUC